ACAAAGUUGCAAACUAGUCUGUCCACGAAACCAAGACUCGAGCAUAUUUUCACUUCCAUUCCCAAGGAUCUAACCUGAUGCAGUUUCCAUGGAAGAAUCAGAGGUGUAAAAAUUGUCCACUUGUAGAAUUUUAGAAUCCAUGGUGAACCUUAAUGAGAACAUGGCUGGUGAAGGUGAAACCCUAGGAGAGCAUUUAGAGAAGCUUCGGGAUUGCGAUAGGAAGGACCCAAAGGAUGGGGAUAGUUUUUGCACUCGUGGGAGUGAUGCUGAGCUGAAUGAUGAUGUGAGAAUUGGUGGAUCAAUUGAGGAGGUUAAAGGUGUGAAUCCUACUGGUGGAGGAGCUGCUGGGACUCCAUGUGAGGGUUCUCAAGUUGCGAAGUCCUUAGAAGGUAAGAGUGAGAAUGAAACAUCUGAGUUGGAUGGAAAUGGUGCAACCUUGAAAACACUGGACGAGAAGGACAUUGAUCACAGGGAGGAAAAUAAAACAUUGGAGACAGAAGCUAUGAGUGAUGUUACGCAAAGUGCUGAAGGCCAAGUUGGCAUUUCUGGGAAGAUUGGUUCACAUGGAGAGCAGGAUAUUGAAGAUGAAGAAUUUGAUGCUGAACAGCGAAAAACAACAGAUGGAAAAGUCACAAAGCAUGUGUCUAAUAAGAGUUCAGGAGAAAAUAUUCUGGCUAGUUAUCAGCUGCCAACAGAAAAGGAAGGAGAAUUUUCUGUGACUGAUUUGGUUUGGGGCAAGGUGAGAAGCCAUCCAUGGUGGCCAGGACAGAUAUUUGAUCCCUUGGAUUCAUCUGCACAGGCAAAGAAGCAUUUCAAAAAGGACCGCUAUUUGGUUGCAUAUUUUGGGGAUAGAACAUUUGCCUGGAAUGAUGCAUCCCAGCUAAAGCCCUUUAGGACUCAUUUCUCGAGUGUCGUAAAGCAGAGCAAUUCAGAAGCAUUCCAUAAUGCUGUAGAUUGUACUUUGGAUGAAGUCAGAAGACGAGUAGAAUUUGGUCUAGCAUGUUCCUGUAUACCUAAAGAUACCUAUGACAGGAUUAAGAUCCAGAUUGUGGAAAACGCUGGGAUUCAACAAGAACUAAGUUUCAUACAAAGAGUGGAUGAAUCUCUAAAUGUUAGUUCCUUUUCACCUCAGAAGCUUUUGGAAUACUUGAAAACACUAUCCGAGUUUCCAACUGGUGGCUUCGAUCGAUUGGAGCUAUUAAUGGCUAAGGCUCAGUUGGUUGCAUUCUACCGCUUAAAGGGUUGCUCUUACUUACCUGAGUUACAACAUUGUGGAGGUUUGAAUAAUGACAUUGAUGUCUUGAUUAAUGAUACUAAUAAAAAUUUGAGUGAAGUUAAUAACCAUACGAUUCAUGUUAGUAAAAAAGAUGUUCAAACUGGUAAUAGAAAUUUAAAAGCAAUAAAUAGCUCUUCUCGCAAACGUAAACACAAUUUGAAGGAUGGUAAAUAUCCAGAAAAGAAGAAAAGCAGCUUGUCAGAACCAGCAGAUGAGACUCCAGAUUCUACACAUUGUGAUUAUCGGUCUGAUGAAGUCACUGAUAAUAUGAUUUCCCCUACCUCUUCCAACAAAAGAAGGACUUUUGAUCACUGUGCUAAUAUUUCCGGGAAGAAAUAUGGGAGAAAAACAAUUUCCCUUGCUAAAGUUUCAAAUAUCACAAAACAAUCAUUUAAAAUUGGUGAAUGUAUUCGUAGGGUUGCAAGUCAACUUACUGGGCCACCCUCUAUGUUGAAGUGUUCUGGAAACAGGUCUCAAUUGGUAGAUGGAAGUGCUGAUGGAUUUUCAGAAAAUCAAUCUGAUGUCUUCUCCUUUAAUCUUGUGAAGACUCAGAAGUCAAGCUUGACUGUUCCAAUGGAAUAUUCAUCUCUAGACGAUUUGCUAUCUUUACUUCAUUGGGUAGCACAAGAACCCAUGGGAGAUUAUAGUUUCGUGAAUGUUAUAGUGAGCUUUUUCUCUGAUUUCAGGAAUUCAAUAAUUGUGGCCAGUGAUUCUGGAAAAGAAAUUUUACCAACAAACAAAGUUGGUACUAAAAGAAAGAAACAGCCUGUUAAUGAAUCAUCUGAAACAUUUGAAUUUGAUGACCUGAGUGGCACAUAUUGGACUGAUAUGGUCAUCCAGAGUGGUCCAGAAGAACAACAAUCACAGAGAAGCAGCAGAAAAGAUUGUCAACAUACCCCCGCUGGGCCAGAAAAACCUCUUCAAGUUUAUACUCGUAGGUCCUAUUCCAGGAAAAAGUGUUCUGACAUUAAUCAUGCUGAGGUUCCUGAAAAGCCUUCUGGUUGUAUAGACUCUAUAGAUGAGAAAUCCCCAGCUGAACUUGUUUUGAACUUCGCUGAGUUGGACCCUGUUCCCUCAGAAAUAAGCCUAAAUAAGAUUUUUAGGCGUUUUGGACCUCUGGAUGAAUCUGAAACAGAAGUUGACAGGGGGAGCAGCCAGGCUAGAGUGGUUUUUAAGAAGUGUGCUGAUGCAGAGGUUGCUUUCAGUAGUGCUAAAAAGUUCAACAUAUUUGGAGCAGUUCUUGUAAAUUACAAACUUAACUAUACUCCAAGUUCAUUAUUCAAAGCUUCAACUUUUCCCACAACUCAGGACCAGGAGAUGCAUCUUGAUCGCUCCAAUUUAGAACUUAAUACGGUCUAAAUUGUUUGGUGAGUAACUUUUUGCUAUUAUUUGCAACCUUUGGUGAUUGAUUACUUUAAUAGGCGCACUUAAGUCCUAGGGUUGAUGUGAUAGCAACAAUGUACUAUCCUAAUGGAAUCAUGUCAUUUUCACUCUAGUUUUGAUUUGGGGCCUAAUUGACUUAGUUACUUUACUAGGCCAUAAAUAUCUUAGUGCCAGUAAAAUGUUUUUUGAGGUAGCAUGUCCGCUGACCAGCAAUAGCCCACAACUUCAAAACAAAUGGAAAUUAAGGGAGUGCUGAAAACAACGUGGCAGCAUAUACUUAACUGAAUAAAGUGCUGACCUAACUCAUUAAUAAAUGGCUGUCAAAGGAGGUAACGAGAAUGUCCUUUCAUCUGGUCAUCUAUUAUUUUUUAAUUUAUUUAUUUUUUGGGUUCUAGGAGCACUAUUUUAAUGCUUGAGUACACCUUCAACUUGGUUCUCCAAAGUUACAUGCAUUACCGCAUUAGUUCUUUAAAAUUUUUGGUGAUUAAAUUAGUCUUUCAAAUAUUUAAAUGGUCAAUUUCGUUAUCUACAAUUUUUGUUUUUAAGUAAAUUGCUCAAAGAUUUAAUCUUGACACCUUAGAUAUUUGAGAAGCUAAUUUGUUGAUAGAUUAAAUUUUUGAAGAAUGAACUUGAUGAUAAAAUAUUUAGAAGACAUAAUUGGUGAC